rnacentral:lncRNA from 1 species
AUGGCCGGGAGUGAACCACCACAUUCAUCCCUGCAUACCAAGUCAAUUCUCCCAUCGCUGAAGAUGAAGGCUUCAGAGGUGCUGCCUGCCAGCAAUCUGCUGAACCCAGCAUCGCCUACCAUCGCGAAAAGAUGUGUUCAACCAAAGAACAUUGACUUCGUCGGGCCACAUCACACUCCUCAGAUGUACUCGUACACACUGGAGUCUCAAUUGGGUUCCCUCUUGAGAAAUCCAAGAAGAGACAUCAGAGACAAAGGCGUCCAGAAAUUCACUGACCGACCGGAUGACUACCUUCUGUGGAAAAUCACCUUCAUGAGGGCCAUUCGAGAUUUCAAGCUAGAAGCGGAUGAAGAACUGUCCCUUCUUGUGGCGUGGCUUGGACCCAGCUCAGCCGAGCAAGUAAAAAGACUUUAUGCUGCUCAUGUAGCAGACCCCCAAAGAGCUUUGUCCACAGCGUGGUCUCGCUUGGACCAGCGCUUCGGUGCGAGCACUGACAUAGAAGCGUCCCUCAUGGAUCGACUCGACAGGUUCCCAUCACUGAAGAUGAAAGAUUGCAAACAGCUUUGGGACUUUAGUGAUCUUUUACUAGAGCUAGCUUCAGCCAAAGGAAAUCCAGAGCUGCCAGGUUUAGCAUGUCUGGACCAGCACACGUCGCAGAGUGCCAUUCUCUGCAAACUUCCUUUUCCUCUUCGAGAAGCUUGGGGGAAACAAGUGUUCAAGUACAAAGAGGAGAAUGCAAAUGUAUACCCGCCCUUCACCUUUUUGGUGGAUUUCGUCACUAGAGCAGCCCGUGAGAGGAAUGACCCUCAAACAGGUCUUCUCGCUUUGUACCAAGACCUAAAGCCUGAAAAGACCUCCAAAGAAGACAAAGCCCAGGGCAAAGAUCUUAGAAGGAACCUGAGUGUCAAGAUGACAGACGCAACUCCUGCAACUUCUGCUCAACCAGUCAGCAACAACACCAUAUCCUGUCCCAUUCAUCAAAAGCCACACAGCCUAGCUGAAUGCAGAGAGUUCGCAAAGAAGCCUUACGAAGAACGACUCCAAAUAGUUCAAAAGGCCAAGGUGUGCUUUAAAUGCUGCGGCGCCACUAUUCACUUCUCCAAAGACUGCAAAGAAAAGGUUAAAUGCCAACACUGCAACAGCAUCAAGCAUUGCUCUGCAAUGCACAACUUCGAUUCCCCUUAA